ACACACACACACACACACACACACACUCAGACUAGGGGUGCAAUGGCAGCCUGACCCAGCCUGUGUUGGGGGAGGGGAGGUUGACCCAGAAUCAGCUAGCUGGGUUCCAAAGCUCGGUCUAUCCAGAGGCUGCCUGCAAAACUCUGCGCCAGAACCCCAGUCUAGGGUCGCAAGAAUCGGAGACACUGGGAGAGAAGCACAACGGCGAGGAGGGACUGGAGAUCUGACGCCGCGAUGCGGCGGAGCCUGUGAAGGGUCUGCUCAGCGUCUGCCCACGUCCCCGGAACCCGGGAAGGAAAGCCAGCAGAGAAAGACACGAAAGACACUGCCCCAGGCCACCUCUCCCUCCCGCUGUCACCCCACCUCCGUGGGCUCACCUGCGAGGGCAUAAAAAGCCUCCCUGAAAGGUGGAUAAUGAAGUGCAGACAACCACAUGGCCAAGCCAAGAGGCAAACCUUGGAGGUACCACAGCAAGCUCCAUUCAUCCCACUGAAAAGAACACCCAGAACCACUUCAUAAUAAAAUGACCUUCACGCUGCUGGUGUCUGCAGUUCACAGGCUUGACUUUCAGUCCCUUAGCAACCAAUCUGCCCUCUUUUGUCCACAGCAUCUCUACAAUGGCCUGACCUACUUGGGGAACCCAAGGGAACACAUAGAAGCACAUGAGGUAAUAAUGCAGGAUUAAAAACAAAACAACAACAA